rnacentral:lncRNA from 1 species
AGAAGUUAGCAAUCAUACAAUGAUGAUGGGCACCUGUGCAUUACUGGAAAUUAGCUAAUGAAUAUAACCAUUUCUUUCUCUCUACCUAGAGAGAGGAAAAUAAAUAUUCUGCUCUGUGUUUUUGUUCAGAGCUCAAAUGGCCCUGUCUGUUAUCAGACCUUUAUUUAAUGGGAUUUCUUUUUUCUUGUUCAGAUUUAGUCCUGUGCUGAUUUUGUAAAUAUAUAUUAUAUUUUUAUUUCUGAAACUAUUUUAUUUCAUGUUCCUUUCAAAUCAUAGGAAAAAAAUAAUAUAAUAUAUAUAUACACACAUCUAGUUAUGCCUCUGGGACUGACAAGGCUUAGGCUCUCUGUGGAAUGAGACCCACUGGACACGUCUGUGCUGUUCACAGAGUCACCCCUGAAGAGGUUUUGCAAGCAGUGUGCUCUGUGUCUUGCUGUCAUCCACAUACCUGGAACGCAGACUGAGUGCAAACCGCGUGCCUACUGGCAUACAAACCAGUCUGGCACACUGCCAUGAUUUGGACAGCACAAGCAGGCUGUGAUUACAGAUUACAAAAAGUACUUCCAGUUAAGCAAGAACCCAGAAAGCAGAGACUUCUUCUAAAAGAAAGAAAACUUCAAAAAAGAGAUGACAAAACAGAAACUUACCUUCAAAAGGGCAUAAUAUAUUUUCUGAACAAUAUACAGUACCUUAUCUUAAUUGAAUAGUUUUAUCCUGCAACCAUUUAUGGAAUAGGAGAGUACAAAAUGAGGUAAAAGCCUCACACAUAUUCAGUUUUCUUGGUCUAAUUUGCAAAGCUUUUCAAAUUAGGUUCUGCAAGAAACAGUCAACCUUUGCCCUUUGCAGACUAUUUAUUAUUUUCAUUUUGAGAUGAAACUACAAUAGCUUCAUACUCUUUUCUUCAUAGUCAGUGAUUUGCUUAGAGAGAAUAAUCGAGAAUAAUACUGAGAAAUGGAAAAGAAAACAGCUACAUGUUUUGUUUUCUCAGAAACUAAAAAUUAGAGUGAAGCUGUACUAGCAGCAUCAAUCCAGGGCUGUUUAAUCUGGUGAGAAUUUGGCAGACAAUGAGUGAAUACCAAGAGACAACAAAGAACAUAAUUUCAUAGUCUUUUCUGUCAAAAAAAAAAAAAGCCAGGAUUUGGCUGGUGUCAUAUAAGAAAACACAGGGGCUUCAUCCAUAACCCUGCCCAUCAGGCACUGCAACAACGGUGCUUAGAUUCUAAGAAUCCUUUUGUUCCUAAGUCUGAAAGGUGGUGAUAAAGAUUUAACUUUUGUCCACUGUGAGGACAGUCUCCUUCCCACAGCUCACCUCGAGACAGUGCUGCUCCCCCCCUUACUCAUAUCAUUGUUCAGCCUUCACCAUUAAAACAUCACGAAUAAUAAUUACAUGGUAUGGUAUUAAUAUCCCACCUCCUUUCCCUUCCCAUACCUUUCCAUCCGCAAUCAAAACUAAAACUCAUGCAAUCAAAACUAAACAAUCAAAAAAUUCAAAUAACUUGCAAUCAACAUUUUUGAAUAUUUUUCCCCCUAGGUUUCUGUUAAAAAAAAAUAAUUAUAAGUUCAAUAACUUGUGAGAAGCUGCCCACACAUGCACAAAAUAUGCUGCACAGGCUGAAAGAGUUUAAAAAAGCCUGAAAAAAGAAUCCACCUCCCCCCGUCCAAAAGAAAAAACAAACAAAAAACCACCAAAGAACAAAAAACUUAUUG